ACGCACGCUGGCGGCGUGCUUAACACAUGCAAGUCGAACGGAAAGGCCCUGCUUGCAGGGUACUCGAGUGGCGAACGGGUGAGUAACACGUGGGUGAUCUGCCCUGCACUUCGGGAUAAGCCUGGGAAACUGGGUCUAAUACCGGAUAUGACCUUCCAUGUAGUGUGGGGGGUGGAAAGAUUUAUCGGUGUGGGAUGAGCCCGCGGCCUAUCAGCUUGUUGGUGGGGUAAUGGCCUACCAAGGCGUCGACGGGUAGCCGGCCUGAGAGGGUGGACGGCCACAUUGGGACUGAGAUACGGCCCAGACUCCUACGGGAGGCAGCAGUGGGGAAUAUUGCACAAUGGGCGGAAGCCUUAUGCAGCGACGCCGCGUGGGGGAUGACGGCCUUCGGGUUGUAAACCUCUUUCGACAGGGACGAAGCUUCGGUGACGGUACCUGUAGAAGAAGCACCGGCUAACUACGUG
rnacentral:rRNA from 1 species